rnacentral:rRNA from 1 species
UACGGAAGGGGCAAGCGUUGUUCGGAAUCAUUGGGCGUAAAGGGCGCGUAGGUGGUUCUGUAUGUCUACCGUGAAAGCGUACGGCUCAACCGUAUUUUGUCGGUAGAAAUUGCAGGACUUGAGGCUGGGAGGGGCUGGUGGAAUUCCCUGUGUAGCGGUGAAAUGCGUAGAGAUGGGGGAGAACACUCGUGGCGAAGGCGGCCAGCUAGACCAGUUCUGACACUGAGGCGCGACAGCGUGGGGAGCAAACAGG